UACACAUAAAUUUGAACUUAACCUCAGAUCAACACGACUGUCAACUUGGAGACUGAAAUAUUCUCACCUACUUUUCAACAGCAUGAUUGAAAUUACGUGUAAUGACCGUCUUGGAAAGAAAGUUCGUGUGAAGUGCAAAUUGGCAAGGACUACAGGACUAGUGCCAAUUUCUAAGGCUGUAAAAUGUGUAAAAUUUUGUAAUAACAAGACUUGUCUUGUCACAUAUUUGGUAUGAAUAUUAUUGGGCGUCCGUCUUCUCCGCGUUCAUUCUAUACAUUGUGCGUUCUGGAUGCCCAUUUCUGCAUGGUGUUGAAACAGGGGUCCGGAAACCGUCAUAUGCGCCGGACAUGUCCGAUUGGGAAUCUCAAAUGUCCGUUUUAAAAUAUUGCUUACCGGACAUUUUAAAAAGUAUUGUCCGGACAUUCUUAAAU
rnacentral:lncRNA from 1 species